CCUACGGGUGGCAGCAGUGAGGAAUAUUGGUCAAUGGCCGAGAGGCUGAACCAGCCAAGUCGCGUGAGGGAAGACGGCCCUACGGGUUGUAAACCUCUUUUGUCGGGGAGCAAAGCGAGUCACGUGUGACUCAUUGAGAGUACCCGAAGAAAAAGCAUCGGCUAACUCCGUGCCAGCAGCCGCGGUAAUACGGAGGAUGCGAGCGUUAUCCGGGUUUAUGGGGUUUAAAGGGUGCGCAGGCGGAGGUGGAAGUCAGCGGUCAAAUUGCGGGGCUCAACCCCGUACUGCAGUUGAAACUGCAGCCGUUGAGUGCGGGAGAGGUAUGCGGAAUGCGUAGUGUAGCGGUGAAAUGCAUAGAUAUCACGCAGAACUCCAGUGGCGAAGGCAGAAUACCGGAGAGCAACUGACGCUCAUGCGCGAAAGCGUGGGUAUCGAACAGGAUUAGAUACCCCGGUAGUC
rnacentral:rRNA from 1 species